UAUGAAGUUUUACUAAGUUAAUUGAUAAAAAUUAAAACGAUACUUAUGUAAUAUGAAAGAGAGUUUAAUAUACAUAAAUACAGAUGUAGAAUGUGUUUAGAAAUUUUAAAACAAUACUAAAGAUCAUAUGCUUCGUAUAGAGCAUUUAUAAGAAAACUCAAUAUUUUACAAAAAUCUAUAUUAUAAUAGAUGAGUUUUUUUGUCUCUCCUCAGCUUAUCCACGUGGCAAAAAUGUGGGCCCCACCUCUGUUUAGUUUUUUUAUUUAGUUUUCUGUCGAGUGGGCAUUACGUGGGUUUUGAAAUAAUUUGAUUUCUCGAGUCUGAAACGAUUAGUGUUUAUUUCCUCUUCGAGAUUGUAAUUUCACAGAGGGCUCUUCCUUAUCCAACAAAUUCAAUUUCGUAACCUGAUCUCUUCGAUUCCUCUGUGCACGUUCUCUGCCCUCAAAACUGCUUUCGAAGAAAAGGCGAACUCUGAUGGAUUCAAUCGACCACUCACUCACUAUCUGUGAUUCGUCAUUCCUGUUGCUUCUUCUUCUUCUUCUUCCUCAAAUUUAAAAGGUAGACACUUUAUCCUCUCUUAUCACACUCUUCCUCCACCGAAUGGUGGGAAGAUAAUUCAACACCUGUCCAAAAGAUCAAAGCUUUCACCUUUUUACACGAGUUAUGUUCUUCUAGCGAGUUUUGACUCUCAAAAUCUCAACCAAUUUACUGCAUUUUCUCAAGUAUACCUCUAAAAGGGUUUAGUUUUUUUUUGUUAUUAUUAAGUUUGAUGGAACUCAAAAGAAAACCGGAGACAUGAGUCGUCAUCAUCGUCUAGGUCAGCUUCACCUUCACCAGCAUCACCAUCUUCAUCUUCAUCUUCAUGGGCUUCUCAUCAAAGAUAUCCUCAGUAUUGUCCUGAAAGCUAUACCUAUCCUCCUCCAGCUUCCUAUGCUCCUCCACCUCCCGAGUAUACACACCCUCCUACUACACCUUCAGCCUUACUCUCUCAGCCGCCUUCUCAAAGCCAUGGCAAUGAUAAGAGGAGGUUGGAGCGCAAGUAAAAAAUCUUUGAUGAGUACUCCUCUUUGGAGCAAGUGAGCUAGCAAAGAGGAAAAAACAGUUUUAAAUUUCAUCAUGUUCCUCCGUCGCUAACGUAACUUUUGACUCGCAGGUGUUUUGGAGGAAAUACGGUAUGUGCGAUCUCAGGAACAAUGCAGCAACCAUCAGAGUUUUGGUUCGCCUCUUAAUCGAAUUGUAAGAUAAUCUUUUACUUUUUUCAAACUUUCGUUAUGCUCUUAAGUUGGUAAAGCUGUAGACUGUUUUAUUUAGGUUAGCUUUUCCCUGUGAAAUGAUUCGAGUCUACUGAUGGGUUUAAAAAACCGUGCUAAGGUUUCACCUCGAGGAGGUGAAGCAAGGCGAAUUCAAGUAAGCGUUGCUUCAACGCCGCCUUGGAAGCCUCAACUAAAGGCUACGCCUUAGGUUGGUGACAAAACUUACCAAGCAAGAAGCUGCUGUCUUGCCCUCGAGGAGAUUCUUUCUUCUCUAGGCAGAUACAUUACUAAUUUCGUUCGCAUUUCACUGGAAGGUAUUAUAACUUCCUAAUACUGCUGACUGCAAACGGUGGAGAGGAGAAUCUCCCAAACCGCCUUGAAGAGCUAACUGAGAAAGAGUUUGUGUUCCAGAUCCAUGUCACACCUUUCAACUUCACACCCAACCAGCUACCUUCACAGUUUCCACCAUCACUGAAGAUACCAUCUCAAGGACCCAUGGCAAGGAGCACGGUGAUAACACUCUUUCAAGCAAUGAUGGUGACGUAGGAUUGGAAGCAUCACCUUCGGGCCCGUCUGUUUUGGGAGACAAGGUCAGUGAGGAAUGUGCUACAGCAGAUCCUCCAGAGAUUUCAGACGCUCAGAACAACCGCAAGCACCGUCGUGAGUGAUUUGAACUAUCUAUUCCUAUCAGUCCAUCAACCGUCUUUUCUAUGCGUCUAAGAAAACUACUACUAUCUUUGUUUCCCAUUUUUCCCUUUCAUGUUUUCUUCUUUUUGGAUAUUUACUUUCUGUUUGGAUUAUUAAUUAAAUGUUGACGAAUUCUAAUUUGCCAGUGGUGUAUUGUUUUACUUUCAUAAUUUUAUAUCUACUUCCUAGACCA